rnacentral:rRNA from 1 species
GACGAACGCUGGCGGCGUGCCUAAUACAUGCAAGUUGAGCGAUGAAGAUUGGUGCUUGCACCAAUUUGAAGAGCAGCGAACGGGUGAGUAACGCGUGGGGAAUCUGCCUUUGAGCGGGGGACAACAUUUGGAAACGAAUGCUAAUACCGCAUAACAACUUUAAACAUAAGUUUUAAGUUUGAAAGAUGCAAUUGCAUCACUCAAAGAUGAUCCCGCGUUGUAUUAGCUAGUUGGUGAGGUACAGGCUCACCAAGGCGAUGAUACAUAGCCGACCUGAGAGGGUGAUCGGCCACAUUGAGACUGAGACACGGCCCAAACUCCUACGGGAGGCAGCAGUAGGGAAUCUUCGGCAAUGGACGAAAGUCUGACCGGGCAACGCCGCGUGAGUGAAGAAGGUUUUCGGAUCGUAAAACUCUGUUGGUAGAGAAGAACGUUGGUGAGAGUGGAAAGCUCAUCAAGUGACGGUAACUACCCAGAAAGGGACGGCUAACUACGUG